rnacentral:snRNA from 1 species
GCUCUCCCUUUGGCAGCACAUAUACUAAAAUUGGAAUGAUACGGAGAUUAGCAUGGCCCCUGCACAAGGAUGACUCGCAAAUUUGUGAAGUGUUUCAUAUUUUU